CAAGAAGUAGUUUAACUAGAAUACCAGCUUUGGGUGCUGGUGGUGGGGA
rnacentral:tRNA from 1 species